rnacentral:rRNA from 1 species
UUUGAUCCUGGCUCAGGAUGAACGCUAGCGGCAGGCCUAAUACAUGCAAGUCGAGCGGCAAGUUAGGUAGUAAUACUUGACCUAGAGCGGCGCACGGGUGCGUAACGCGUAUGCAACCUACCUUUAACUGGGGGAUAGCCCGGAGAAAUCUGGAUUAAUACCCCAUGGUAUCUACGAAUCGAUUGGUUUGUAGCUUAAAGAUUUAUCGGUAAAAGAUGGGCAUGCGUCUGAUUAGCUAGUUGGCGGGGUAACGGCCCACCAAGGCGACGAUCAGUAGGGGUUCUGAGAGGAAGGUCCCCCACACUGGCACUGAGAUACGGGCCAGACUCCUACGGGAGGCAGCAGUAGGGAAUAUUGGGCAAUGGUCGCAAGACUGACCCAGCCAUGCCGCGUGCAGGAAGACGGCCCUCUGGGUUGUAAACUGCUUUUAUCUGGGAAGAAAAAGUCCAUGCGUGGAAAAUUGCCGGUACCAGAUGAAUAAGCACCGGCUAACUCCGUGCCAGCAGCCGCGGUAAUACGGAGGGUGCAAGCGUUGUCCGGAUUUAUUGGGUUUAAAGGGUGCGUAGGCGGCUGAAUAAGUCAGCGGUGAAAGACUUCGGCUUAACCGGAGCAGUGCCGUUGAUACUGUUUAGCUUGAGUGUUGGAGGGGUACAUGGAAUUGAUGGUGUAGCGGUGAAAUGCAUAGAUACCAUCAGGAACACCGAUAGCGAAGGCAUUGUACUGGCCAACAACUGACGCUGAGGCACGAAAGCGUGGGGAGCGAACAGGAUUAGAUACCCUGGUAGUCCACGCCGUAAACGAUGAUUACUCGCUGUUAGCGAUAUACAGUUAGCGGCCAAGCGAAAGCAUUAAGUAAUCCACCUGGGGAGUACGCCGGCAACGGUGAAACUCAAAGGAAUUGACGGGGGUC